rnacentral:lncRNA from 1 species
AUGCCUCAGCUUCUGGCAGGAUUUGCAAAUGCUGCUGGGAUUCAGGGACUUUGCUUAGGAGAAGCUGCUAAUGCAUUGCUGUUUUCUCAUCUCACCUCCCCACCAGAGGGUCCAGCAUGGCUCCACAGUGGCCCCAGCGAUGGGAGACGCAGAUGCACACCCCAUGGGUUGUGGCUGUACUUUACCAGCACCCAGAGAGGGAAAGCAGAGAGACCUGAUGCUCCUGCAGCUUCCACGGGUGAUCUGAGCGAGCUCAGCUGAUCGUACGGCACACAAAGAGCAACCUCUACCACUUGUGCGGCUGGAUCCAGAAGAGGAUGUCCGUUCCCAGCUGCAGACUCCAGAUGAUGCAAGUUUUGCUCCUUUUUUACAGUAAUUCCUACCAGGUGAAAAUAGGCAGGUACCCCACUGAAAAACACCAAGCAGGGGAAAUAUUUAGGAAAACAUGUUUGCACAAUAUCUCGCUGAGUAAUACCAACACAGAUCAUGUGAACUGACCCAGUAAUCUGUUGCCAUCCGCAUGUCACAGAACUUGAAGGCUUCGUACAGCUUUGAUUACAAAAAUGUGCAUUUUCUCUCAUCAUGGUGAUUGAAUGCAGAGGGAACGUUUUUUUCUUUAGUGUUGUUUGUUUUUCUUUUUUUCAGGCAUAAUGGAGUUUUGAACAGUAAAAUUGCUUUCUGCUUUUUCAUAGUUGUUUGGCUAUUUGAGAGAAAAAAGAAACACCAGACAGUGCAGCACUGCUACAGGGAGAGGUAUAAACACAGUAAAAAGCAAGUUUAAUGAGCAUGUUUUAAUAUUUAAGGAAAAAUGUGUUUUCACUUAAACUACCUGAAAAUAUACAACAAAUCCAUUCAAGUCAGUGGUAUUAUUCACUGUAUACUAAACGUGGAAUACCUACUCCUGAAAUGUCAUUCUAACUUUGUACUUUGAGAAUAAGUAAAUAGCAACACUGUCCUGUGCCUCUCACAAUUCUUCAAUCUUUUACUGCUGAAGGAUGCCCUACUAUGAAAAUUACACAUUCC